CCCGAUCGGUCUUUCGUAUGCUGAUGAGGGAGCGGUUUGGGGUUUACUGGCCUGGUUGGAAAUGAUUUAGGGCGACACCGGGGCUCUGAGGCUUUAUGCCGCCGGGGGCUCGUAUAUCACCCUGAUCAUUAAUCAAUUAGCGUCUCCGAGCCACCUGUCGGACACGUCGCCGCACAAAACAUUCCUGCCCUCGGGCUGUUGCUAGACGAUGAUCAUCAGCAGCACCACUAUUACCUUCCAGCCCCCCCCCCCCUUAUGGUAAUACCCUGAUGGAUUACAUAAUCACUGUGGGCAGUAAAUGCAGCCGUCUCCACCGCGGCACUGACGGCCGUUUGGUAUUGAUCACAUGAGCUUCUCCGUCCGGCCGUCUUUUAUCACAAAUUGUCCGUGUGGGAUAGAAGUUUCUGGAAGUUCCGUUCCACUUUUGGUGGUCCGGGUUGCUGGAGAGCUCCAUCAGGCUUUGUUGAUCUCGCGUAACCACUCGAGACGCCGCGCGGCGAUUAAAUAAAUAAGGCCGAGCUCCGUUAAAAAAAAAAAAAAAAAAGAAAAAAAACCUGCUUGAAAUACCGUUUCUUUAAAUGAAGAUUUGCAUGUAAGUUUGAACUCUCGCUGCCACUAGAAAAUCUGUUCCUCGCAGCUCUGCUUCCCCCACAAAAAGCAUUUUUCACCCUUUUUGUGUUAUUUGGAACGAAUUCUUAAAAGCAGCUGGAGAGAAAAGUGGCACCAAAGUUGGAGCCUAAUCCGCCAACCCUCAACACGGGGACACGGAGCGGGUAGAUUUGUCACGCCUCGAUGUGGCAGUGUUCUUUCAUUACAGAAGCGGCGCUCUUCACGCAGCUUAGCCAAACCAAACGGCUCAAUCGGCCUCGUGAGGAAGGUCUACGAGGAAGAGGACGCAGCGAGGCUCCUAUCUGCGAAGCCAGAAAAGCCCAGUUGGUCCUACCUGUGCUCCGCUCUUAAGGGAAAAAUGGACACUUUCAAUCACAAAGGGAUUGGAGGGUAAAAGCCGCACGCCGUGUGUGCAAAGUGUGUAACAAAGUUCCCUUUUUUCUCCAAUUCUCUUUCGUCUUUUAAAGCCAACCGGUCCAGGAAAGAAGCCAGAUGCCGACAUCAUCAGGUGGAUUUUCAAAAGAACAAAAGAUCCUCUGCGAUUCUUUUCACUGCCAUUUCAUGCAGCGUAGACCCUCACUACGUGUGUGUGUGUGUGUGUGUGUGUGUGUGUGUGCGCGUUAACACCGCCCUGUCAUUGGUAUUUCAACCAAAUUAAUUCCCUCACACUUUCUUCUACUUACUCAAAGUGACGUCCCAGAAACCAACUGAAGCUGACAACAUAUCAGAUGUGGCUCAUCGUAUCUGAUCACAUUGACAUGAACGUAUCGAAACGGCCGAAUGUGACGAACAGAUAUUUCUGGAGAGAUAAAAAGGUUAAAGAAUGUCAAAGUGCAUAAAAACACAACAACAUAACUGCAGCCUGAGCGCGAUGAAGGCGAUGCACAUGGCACACAGGCAGGGGGGGGUGACGGGGCAAAGGCCUGACCUGUGGGGGUCAAAAGGGUGUGAGGAGCAUUUAUCACAGCUAGCUUCCCUGGGAGCCGGCCGGGGCCCACCGCUACCACCCAGAUGCCUUCAUGACAAAGACAAACACUGGAAUCCCUAAGUGGAAAAACAUGGCGUGCUGGCACACGGCGGGCCGCGGCGAGACGUUACAUCGUGCGGACGGUUUAAUGAGCGCGGCCUGGACCCGAUCAAAAGUCGGAGUGUCCGCCGCAGCCGAACAGAAGAGGCUGUAUUUCACGCUUCGCGGGAGCCGGUCCACUCAUCCGCGGAAAACAGCGGCUGGAGGACGGAGGUCCCGUGGAAGGUUCCCCCCGUGGGGGGGGGGGGGGGACAAAGACGCAAUUGAGAGCACGGGACCAGAUCCGGCGACCCGGGACUCGUAAAAAAAAAACAGCCCCUCAGGGGAACUGCCCCCCGCCGCCAGCGGUCGAAGACGCCCGGCAGCUCCGGCAUUGUUUUUUCCGGCGCCCUGGACAAGCGGAGCGGGGUGGGAGUGGGCUCCGCGGGCCAGGCGCCAGCCGGGGGACAAAAACGCGCUGUUGUGCCGGGGAGGAACAAUCGCGACGCCGCUCACGCAACGCGCUCUCGUCAAAGUGGAGACGGCGGUCCGCUUUUGCAUGAAAGACGCACACAGCCUCCUCGUGACUCGUCGCAUUGCAUUGAAAGCGAGACAAUGACUCGAAGUGAGACCGAACGCUAAUUAGAGGUCGGCAUCCCGUCCCACAUCGCCGACGCACCGAGACGAUCGACUCGCUGUCAGACGCUCUCACGAGGUCCCGAGAAUCCCAAGCCCUCAAAGCGCUCGUUAAACCAAAUAAACACCCAGCAUGCACCUCCCUUUCUACCACCGCAGACCAGCACGAGCAGCAGAGACCACGCGGCUUCGACGUACAUUCGCACCGACAGCGACUUGAACCCUCCUUCAACAACCCGACGAAGCGGCGCCGAGCUGUUUCCAGUCCGCCCGUAACGAGCGGAUGACAGCAGCCGCGCGCCCGGUGCCGAGAGGAGCGAGCACCACGCAGACGGGCCGUCAUCGCCGGCGCUCUCCUGCUCUUCGUUAGGGAGUGGACAGAAACACAACAGGCACUUCUACAACUUCACACUUCCAGACGCAACGCGAGCAGCCGCCGCCGCAGGUGCAACAACGGGCCGAGCGCCGAGAGGUCUGCAGAGCAUUUUCUCCUCGAUUUCCACAUUCCUACUGGCCGCGUUGGGCCCUCGCGCUGGAAGCGGGGCGAGCGGGUGGGGGGAGGGGGGGGGUCUGCUCCACAUUCAGAGGCACAGCUGGUAUUUCACCGAUUAACUGGGGCCUCUUUAUUGAUCUCAUGCAGCGACGGUUACUUAACAUGGUCCUAUGUAGCUCUGUAGUCAAGUCCAUGUUAAUUGCGAUAAGAAAAUCCCUCUAAGAGAGCGUUUGCUGCUGGUUCUCAUGUACACGCACACACACACUUUGGUUAUGGAACCUUUGGAAUCAUGGCCAUUGAUGCAUUUUUUAUAGAUUGUAUUAGAACUUUGUUUCUCAUAAUCCGUGUGAACGCGUUCACCCUCGACGCCCAACAUUGCAUUCGCAAGGAAGUGAAUCGCAAAACAGCAUUAACCCAUUUACAGCAGUUACGGUUAUUUUAAAUACAAAAAGCAAAGUCAAUUUGUGUUUGAAAAAAGAGCCGGUUGUAUUUCAGUGUCUGCAGGUGAUAAAUGCCUCUAAUGUGCUGAACUCAGCAUCUUGUCCUUACGGUGGAUGAGGAGUCUCGAUGCAUAUCUGCUCGCCGCAUCAGCCGCACACUUGUUUUCUCUGUGGACAGCACACGAAAAAAUACAGGCCGACGACAACAGUGAUUCACCAUGUUUACUUUGAACAAAGCGACUUCGCGUAUCCCAUCAUGCAAAAAAAGAAAAAGAAGAAAAUCCCAAAGUUCGGACAACAACAAGGCCAAAGAGGGGAGUGGAAACGGGACAAAGAAGACUCUUGAUGUGUGACUGCGAGGUCGUCCAGGACGCGCAGAGACGCCUCCUGGAUCACAGUCAACACAUUUCACCCGCGGGUCUUCCACCUUCAUUUAGAUGAAUAUGGACCUCCUCGAGAGGAAAUAAAGCCAUUUUGAACCCCCCCCCCUCGACAACGAGUCGGCCGUCCAUAAUGUGCCCCGUCAAUGGACUGUGGGUUUAUUCAACUGCAGGCCGCCCCCAGCACAGCCAUAAAUAACAUAGGGCAGCUCACAUGAAACCCUAAUCACCAUUGUGCUGUCACCCAACAGACAAGACUGCUUGUUUAAUUUACUGCAGCGCAUCGGUCUCAGUUCUGCCCAAUUUGGUUUCACAAUUCCAAUGGCCAAGUACUCCUGGUGUAUAUUUAUCAGUGUGCUUUUCACCCAAAAGCCAUGAAUUAAUAAGAAGGCAACGUCUGUGUCUCCGGGUCGGCGUGCACGUGCUCGUUUUGGCGCGACGGUAAGUGGGCGUGUCACAAAAUAAAUAAAUAACGAAUGCCAUUGACACUUAAUAACCCCCGGGCUCAUUAUUGGCUGUAUACGACACACUUUAUUAUUAAAUUACCACCCCAUUAGCAUGCAGACAUUUGCAUAUUGCAGUCACUGCUUACAGAGGCAGUAGAUCAUAAGUGGCAGCCAUAUGCUGCCUAGUGUGCCAUCUUACAGAAUUAUUACUGCGACACAAAAAGCCGAAAGGAAAAUGGAAAUCUCCUUGACACCAAAAAGAAAUGAAAAAGAAGAAGAAAAAAAAGAAAAGGCAAAAGGAUCUGCCGUUAUUUAUGUCACAGUCGGUCUGACGGAACGAUCAUUUACACCCUCCAGAGACGCUUCCCCGCAGACGAAGAUCCACGGGCCGCUCAGGUGGGACCACCUGCCGCUUUCCUCCCACGAUACACGCAGAACACCAACGGCAAACAACAAUGCAUGGACCAUGACUUACUGGGGGGGGGGGGGUUCAGCUUGACGUCCCCCCGGCUGCAAAUACCGCUCCGGUUUUCAUGGAUUAUUGUUCUAACCUGAGGUUGAUCGUUUUAUCGAAGUAAUAAUAGUUUUUGGGGACAAAAAAUACCAAAAAUGCAGCUUCUCCAAUGUGAAUAUUUUCUACUUUUCUCACUGUUUAUCAUUACAAAUGGAAUACAUUUGGGUUUUGGACAGGAGGACAAUAAACAACAAAUUGGAAAAAUAAUAUGUUCAGUUCAGUUGAAACCUGAGAAAACUUGUUUUAACUACUCUACCAUUUUCAAAUGAAUAAAUGAGACUAAAAUUAUAGGUUAAAUUACAUGAAAAAUACAGGUUUGGUUCAGCUGGACAACCAACCAAAAAUCCCAGCCGGGUACGGACACAUCUGGCCCAGAGCCACGCUGCUUUCAUCGAGCGCCGUUUAAGGACGUCCAAGCGACAGCGGCCAUCCGGCUCGUGGCAGCAGAGGGUUAACUUGGCAGCUCGGCUGUUCAGUGCAGCUCUUAAAAAGAAUAUUAACGGCACGUCCCUCGGUGCAGACGGCGCAACAGGAAAAGGGAGGAGAAAGGCGGGGAUGGAGGGAGAGAAAGGCGAGCAGCAGAGCGGGGUGGGUGUGUGCCAUUCCAAUUCUUCAGCGACUCUGCGCUCAGGAUUACUGUUUCGGGGAAGGAACAUAUCAUCUGUCAAAGUUAAUGGCAGGGUCCCAGGGAAAAGGAAGGAAAAAUAGAACGGAGACCAAUCAUUAGGAAGGAGGCUGAUGGGGGAGGCGGAGGCGGUUGAAUCCAACGGUCUUCUCCGCCGUCUCCCCGGGAAAAUAAAUAUACACUUAAGGGCCUCACACUUAAAAGAGAUAAUAUUAUUAUUAAAAAGGGCCCGAGCGUGGAGCCGUCGUCUGGGACAAACGAGGUCGGACUGGCGUCCCGGCCGGCCAACAGGCCCGGCCAGCCCGUCUCUCACUCAGAGCUGUGGAUGUACUCCGGAGAAGCAAUUGAUACCAUUGUUUUAUGGAGAGGAGGGCGGAGGGGGAUUAACAAACCAACAAUCGGGUUCUUUCACUGCAAAUGUCAGCCGUCACGCCGGGGAACCGUCCGACUGGGCAGAGAAAAAAGCCAAGUUGCGAAAUGGAGUGUGGAAAAAUAGUAUGAAACCCCUGUGACGAGGGAAAGGAAGCAGUGUGACGUGCUCCAGAACAUUCCCGUGCCAAUUGGUAGAAUGCAACCUCAAACAGGCGAGGGGGGGGGCGCUACAAACACACAUCAUGUGAGAUCAAGUCAAACAGGGACACAAGGCUUUCAAUUUGUUGUUAAAUGCUGUGUGUGUGUGUGUGUCUGUGUGUGUUGUCUUGAGGAUGUGAUCGUUGAAAGAAAGGCAGCACAACUUCAUUCCAAGGAUUCCAAGGUCCACCAAAACACGCGGCGGCUGGAAACACAUCAAUAACCAGGAUAAUAGGUUAUGUGGGUCUUUAGCGCGGCCUCAUUAGGAGAAAAAAAAGAGGAGACAAACCGUGGCCUGAUUCCUCAGGCAAAUUAACACAGUGAGGAAACCUAAAAUAUCACAAACGACGAUCCGUCCUGGGACGUUUCAUCAUGGGACUUACAGCGGAGCGAAACAAAGCUUUGAUAACCCCCCCCUGGCGUUGGACCUCUUUGAAAAAUCGGGUGAAUAUCAAGGGCUGAACAAAGGUACCCCGGGUGAAUAUCAAGGGCUGAACAAAGGUACCCUGGGUGAAUAUCAAGGGCUGAACAAAAGGUACCCUGGGUGAAUAUCAAGGGUUGAACAGAGGUACCCUUGGUGAAUAUCAAGGGUUGAACAAAAGUACCCUGGGUGAAUAUUAAGGGUUAUACCAAAGUACCCUGGGUGAAUAUCAAGGGUUGAACAGAGGUGCCCUGGGUGAAUAUUAAGGGUUGAACCAAGGUACCCUGGGUGAAUAUUAAGGGUUGAACCAAGGUACCCUGGGUGAAUAUUAAGGGUUGAACCAAGGUACCCUGGGUGAAUAUCAAUCAGGAAACAUUUAUUCUCAUAAUAUGUCAGACAUACAAGGAAUUUGACUUGGCGGGUUGAACCGAGGUACCCUGCCGCUUUAAGGCCAAGAUGAAGCAGCGCUUCUCCCACACUGACCUAAUUGCUCUCUCGCUCUCCCAACGUGAACACUGGCAGCCGUGCACUCUGACAUGUAAAGAUUGUUUAAUACCAUCAAAGCCAUAAAGAGGAGGAAUAAAAAGCAGCGAGGGGAAAAAACAGAGAAGGGGGGGGGGUGUAACACACGCGUGGGCAGUCCAGAGAGGCUGCGUGGAAGAACAGCUGAAGGAGAAUCAGUAUGCGAAGGCGGGCGCCCGUCUAACUGCCGCCGGCCGGCGCGUGUGGAGCUCCGCACGCCCCAACAUCACAGCCCCCCCCCCCCCACAGAAAGAUCCCACUGGGCUUCAGCUACGCUCCCGGUCUCGGCUCCCACCCUUCUUUUUCCCACACUCGCCCCGGUCCCUAGAAGGCAGCGACUACGUCAUCGGGCACCACUGCCAAACCGCUGUAAUGUCCCAGUUGAGUUCUACCGGUUCUAACAGAGCCUCAUUUAGGCCCAGGCUGGUUUUAUCACGGUUAGGCUACACUGGCCUUCAUUUUUAGAAGUAACCCUAAUAGGGAUUGGGCCAAAGACUUCCAACGAGCGGAGCUAUUCUUAACGGUGGUGGAGUGGUGAACAAAUCAAAACAAAGCGUAAAAAGAUAGCCCACUUUUUCUUGCCCCCCCCCUUAUUUACAGUAAGUGAAACUAAUUAUUUCACAAUAAUUACUUCCUAAACCAGACAGCCGCUCCUUUCCAGUGUCAUUCACACAGGACUUUACAAUCUGAGGAGAAAGGAGAUGUUCUGAGCUUUUCUGUUUUAAAUAUAUUACUCCAAGAAACAGUACUAAAUCAUUCCUGGUCCAGGAGGCGGCGGCGUGAGAAAAAUCCCAGCUGUCAACAAUGAUUUGAAGUUGUCAUUUCUCCAUAACUUCCUCAUUACGUUAGAUCUUACGAGGGUUAGUUUGAGGUGGGGUUGCAAUAGGCACUAAUCCACGGAAUAACAAUCCAAAUUAACCUUUUCAAUAUAAGUUAACCCUGGGCCUACGUUUUUGAGUGGCUACGAUGCGGCUUUCUGCAGCAGCAUUGCUUUGCUUCCUGGUACUCUCGUCAUGCUGACCACCGUCUGCCGUAGAAAAUACACCGCAGGUACCGCAUACUACUUCAAAAACACCCAAACAUGACCUUAAUACAUGAGAUCUAUUACGAAUGGCGACAUCGUAGCGCUUUGAUAACCCGCUUCCAACUACUGAGAGAGGGACGGUAUUUUUAGAACUCAGUGACAUGGGAUCUGGUAUCACCAGACAUCCAAAAGGUUAUUAGCUAAAUCACUUUAGUUGUGUUGAGCGCAAGCCUCCCAAAUUACAUCUAACCGUGAAUCACAAGAGACGGGAGGCGGCGAGGUGGGGAAACCCUCCGACACUCCGAAUUCCCCGCUUUGUGUCUCAGCCUCUAACGCAUCUCGCCCUGAAUGUCACAGGUUGUCACGCGAAAGGGCAUCAUUUUCCUCCUCUUCUUCCUCCUCCAGCCCCACCCCACAACAACAACAACAACAACAACCAAAAACAUGUCUGCACUGCAAAGUCUGCAGCCAGUUUUAUGUUUUAAGUUGAGCGAGGCGCACUAAACCUUCGGCGUCAUAAAAGACCGUUCAACAGGCGCUUCACUGGAACAGAGAGGAACCGUGUAGACAGUGGACGCAGAGGAUUGCGCAAUGUGAUCUGCGGAUGCAAUCCGUGGUUUCACGAGACGACCUUUUGCAAGUUCUCGCGGGCCGCCGCGUGCGCAGCGCGGCCGUGACAUUUUGAAUGUGCCGACAUCCGGACACCUCGGACCGCCGCGUUAUCUUGACACGGGUUAAUCGGGGGUGUCGACAAAUUAGUGGGAGAGAGAAAAGAGAGAGAGAGAGAGGGAGAGGAAGAGGGAGCGUUUUGGGUCACCGGGCUCCGCGGUGUUCGAUCCCCGCCGACUGUGGAUGCCCCACUGCGUCGGACGCGCGCGUCCCUCCGCACCCGGUUGUGAAGCUCAAGCGACGUGGAUGUCGAAUCAGCGGCAGCCCUCACGGGCGUCACGACCACUGAGUAAAACGUCACUCGGACGUACACCAUUAGCCGUGGCGCAUUCACCCCCCCCAUGCUGUCACAUGUUGACAAGCUGUCAGCGGCGGGUGCACGGUGUUACCUGUGGACGCGGUUACCUGUGGACCUGUUGGCUCCUCCCCCCUGGGGCCCCUCCCGG
ensembl:lncRNA